rnacentral:rRNA from 1 species
GACAGAGGGUGCGAACGUUGCUCGGAAUUACUGGGCGUAAAGCGCGUGUAGGCGGGUGAUCAAGUCGGGUGUGAAAUCCCCAGGCUCAACCUGGGAACUGCAUUCGAAACUGGUCGCCUUGAGUGCUGGAGAGGGAAGCGGAAUUCCUGGUGUAGAGGUGAAAUUCGUAGAUAUCAGGAGGAACACCGGUGGCGAAGGCGGCUUCCUGGACAGUUACUGACGCUGAGACGCGAAAGCGUGGGGAGCAAACAGGAUUAGAUACCCCAGUAGUCC